UACAGAGGUCUCAAGCGUUGUUCGGAUUCAUUGGGCGUAAAGGGUGCGUAGGCGGCGCGGUAAGUCGGAUGUGAAAUCUCGGGGCUUAACUCCGAAACUGCAUUCGAUACUGCCGUGCUUGAGGACUGGAGAGGAGACUGGAAUUUACGGUGAGCGGUGAAAUGCGCAGAUAUCAGGAGGAACACCGAUGGCGAAGGCAGCUCGCUGGGACGGUACUGACGCUGAGGCGCGAAGCUAGGGGAGCGAACAGG
rnacentral:rRNA from 1 species